rnacentral:misc_RNA from 1 species
GACGGAGGGCGCAAGCGUUGUUCGGAAUUACUGGGCGUAAAGCGCGCGCAGGCGGGACCGCAAGUCAGAAGUGAAAUCCCGGGGCUCAACUCCGGGGCUGCUCCUGAAACUGCGGACCUGGGGACCGGUAGGGGCUGGUAGAAUUCCCGGUGUAGCGGUGGAAUGCGUAGAUAUCGGGAAGAAUACCCGUGGCGAAGGCGGCCAGCUGGGCCGGGUCCGACGCUGAGGCGCGAAAGCGUGGGGAGCAAACAGG